rnacentral:misc_RNA from 1 species
GGAAGUAAAGUCGUAACAAGGUCUCCGUUGGUGAACCAGCGGAGGGAUCCUUAUCGAGUUUAUAACUCCCAAACCCUAUGUGAACUUACCACUUGUUGCUUCGGCGCGCGCUUCGGUGCCGCCGAGGACACUUAAACUCUUUGUUUUUAUAAGCAUUUCUGAGUGGCCGAAAGGCAAAAUACAAAUGAAUCAAAACUUCCAACAACGGAUCUCUUGGUUCUG